rnacentral:tRNA from 1 species
CGGGGCGUGGCGCAGUUUGGUAGCGCGUCUGGUUUGGGACCAGAAGGUCGCAGGUUCGAAUCCUGUCGCCCCGACCA